rnacentral:sRNA from 1 species
UAUUCUGCCCCAUGGGGAAGGAUGAGAAGCUUCGACUAAGGUUCGACUCGAGCGCCAGCGAGAGAACGUUGCCACAGGCAACGGC